GACGAACGCUGGCGGCGUGCUUAACACAUGCAAGUCGAGCGGUAAGGCCCUUCGGGUACGACGAGCGGCGAACGGGUGAGUAACACGUGGGUGACCUGCCCUCAGCUCUGGGAUAAGCCUGGGAAACCGGGUCUAAUACCGGAUAUGACUCCAUGACGCAUGUUGUGGGGUGGAAAGCCUUGUGCGGCUGAGGAUGGGCCCGCGGCCUAUCAGCUUGUUGGUGAGGAACGGCUCACCAAGGCUUCGACGGGUAGCUGGUCUGAGAGGACGAUCAGCCACACUGGCACUGCGACACGGGCCAGACUCCUACGGGAGGCAGCAGUAAGGAAUAUUGCGCAAUGGGCGAAAGCCUGACGCAGCGACGCCGCGUGGGGGAGUGAAGGUCUUCGGAUUGUAAACCUCUUUCAGCUCCGACGAAGCGAGAGUGACGGUAGGAGCAGAAGAAGCACCGGCCAACU
rnacentral:rRNA from 1 species